AGACAGGAAGUAAACUCAAAACUGACUAACUUGAAGAAUAACUAAAGUGAACCUCAAGUGUACAUUUACAUAACGAACAGAUUUGCAUGCAGUAUGGUUGGAACCGUCCACAUUGUGAUGAGGCUGCUGUUGCUCUCCUUUAUCAGAACAGGUGUAAAUGGAGAAGGUGAACGGAUAUUGUCAGAGAGGGGUUACGAUAUUACAUAUCCAUGUGAAGAGAACUUAGUCUGCUUUCAUAUAUGGCAGAUCAACAUGAGCCAAACAAGCGAAUACAUUGCCAUAAUCAGUAAUGGACAGAUCCGGGCGGCUGAAUCAGAGGAAAAUAAAUGCACUCUACAAAUCAGAGAUCUCACAGUGAGGGAUGUUGGACUUCAUCGCUGUCAAAGGCCAAAGGUCUUCUCUCUUCCAAACACCUACUCAACUGCUCCAAUGUAACCUCAUGCCUGCCAAAACAGUGUCACUGCAGUGUGUUUCCCUCACCUCCGUGGAGCGGAGACAUUGCAAGACCAACCUACAACAACAGAUCAGCCUGACGUGGGUGGAUCAAGCCGGCGCAGAGGUACAAGAAGACUCCCAGCAUCGUAUAAUUCAGCAGUCCCCUUGUGACAAAACUCUGAUAGUCACCUUUCAAAAGUCCUGAAGAUAAGAAGUUUAGGUGCCAGGCGACUGUGGGUGAAGAAGUCCAGACUUCGGUGGAGGUGCUGCUCAGAGCCCCAGAUCUUAAAGGGAAGGGAAGAGGAAUCCUCAUAGAACCGGAACCUGAACCUCAAGGUGGCAAACAGGACACAGUCGGGGCAGCUGUGGGGGUGGUGGGCUGUUUGGUUCUGACAGUGGUGGUUGCAGUGUUUGUUGUGAACAGAAGAAGAACAAACAGCCAGCAGCCCGAUGAGCCCUGUUCAGUCCAAUCCAGUCCCAACAAUGUCAUGAACACAGAUGUCAUCUAUGCUGACAUUAUUCUCCCCGGUGGCUCUGACAGAGUGUGGGUCCACGAGUAUGAGUCCACUGAAUAUGCUUGUGUCCGAUACAAAUAGUCUGCUGUUCAACAUCUAAAUUGCAUGUAAGCAUGUAUUUUUUUCUUUGUUUGUGAGCUCCAACUGUGCUACAGCAUUGCAUUCCAAUACUGUGAAACACUCCACACCAAAGCAAUGUACUGUUACUGUUACUGUGGGUAUUUUUCCAUUUACCUUGGCCAUUUAACCCUUCUGUUGCCCUUCGUAUUGCCUUUCGUAUUCCAUAUACUUUUUUCUUCUUACUAUUAUUCAAAAACAAAAGAUAACUGCUUCAGAAUCACAAAUGUCAUGCACAACAACAAGUCCUACUACACACACACACACACACACACAAAGGCACAUUGCCGGCCACCGGGUCACUUUGACCCAGAGGACAACACGUGGGUUAAUAUUUUAGCUAUGAAAAGGUUCUAUGGGUUUUUGAAUAGUCUACUUCAAUAUAUUUAACUUUUCUUUCUAGAAAUGAUAGGAGGCUAUUACACAGCAUGGGGAAUGGUUGGAAAAAUUAUGUACUGCACAUGUUUGAGAGGGGAAAAAAUGAUUUUAAUCAUAUGUGUAUGAUUGUUUUCUUUGCAAAACUUGUACCUGUGUUCAAAUCUACAAUAUUUAAAAAAAAAAAAAAAAACUUUUCAGUUAUUCAAGAGAAUUGUGUAAAAGAGAAACCAGUGAACUAACUUUUGUAUAUCUUGAAUCUUGUUGCACAUAAGAAUUGUGCUCCGUUGUUAUCAUCUGUCCCUCACAAUGUGUGGAUGAAUGUGUUCAUUCCUAUGAUUUGACUGAACACUAUCAAGGUCAAUCCUUUUCAAGUAGCCUGGCACAAAAUCAAAUGUAGAGCAUUUUAAAAACUGGUUAGACUGCUGCUGAAUACAGCACUGCAAACAGGUUAUAAUGAAGAUAUUUCUAUUAAUUGAUAUCAAACCAGGUGGAGGAACCUGUGCUUGGUGGAAGGCAACAUAGUUGAAAUAGCAGAAACAUGUUGCCAAAGACCAAUAUCUUAAUGGUAUUGUUUAGUAACAUAAUGUUUUUGCAGGUGAUGGAGUUCAGGUGGACAAGCUGCAUAGCUGAACGCAGCACUUCAUUUUAGACACAAACAAACCAGUUUCUUUGUGCAAACAUGCUAAAUUAAAUUGUGUUUGGAGUACACUGCUGGCUUCAGUCCUCAGCUCUAGACUGCCAGUACACACACACAUACACCAGCAGGUGAGAGACUGCCGGAGCCGGUCCCAGUGUUGCUCCAUUUGCAUUUUAAAUACUUGCUGCCAGCCCACUACUGUGUUCACAGUGCAGUGCAGCACAGCUAAUCUACACACCUAAGGUGUGUGAUUGGCUACAGCCAAGAGUCUGAGGGGGUUGAAGAGAUGGUGAAGACACUUAAGAAGUGGGGGAUGAACAAAGACAAGAAGUUACCUGGAUAAGUUAGAGGCCCUCGUUAUAUAUCACAUAAAAUGCAAGCAGAUAUGCUAAUCAGAUUCUGCAUGUUCCUCUUCUUGACUUAAUCUUUCAAAAACAGGAUGCGAAAGAUAAAAGUAGACCAAACAUCCUUUUCUGCAAUUUGUUAAAAGCGUUAAAGUGAAUAGAUAGAAGAAGAUGAUAGAAGAUGAAGGUAAAGAGUAAAUGUAAAAGAGGCAAAGAUUUAAAAUGCUAUUAAGAAUAUCAAAGCAUAGAAAAUGUCCCCAAACUCACACUCAAACCUGGAGGCUAAUGCAGCAUAUUCAGUGUAAUUGUACAGUACUGAGAGUAUAUUUCAGCAGUCAGGCACUUCUACAAGGUCAGUGUAAUAAUGUUAUAUUCUAUCAUCCCUGGAUUCAUAAUAAAUCAGUAUAGACUGGCUGUCGCUCUUUUUUUUUUUUUAACUUUAGCUACAAUGACAUCUUUGACCAAAUUGUAGCUUAUAAAAUGAAUAGUUGAAUGAGACAGGUCAGUGUGAUCUCUGAGACACUUUCUUUAACCUGCCUGUCCUUAUAAGCAUGUCAUCAUUAUUA